rnacentral:lncRNA from 1 species
CUGCGUCCCUCACUCUCUGCGGGCUCUAUUCAAAUGUCAUCGGCCAGCAAAGCCUUCCCUGACUGGAUGUUACGAAAUGACAGGGUCUCCACGUCUGGAACCCUACCACAGCAGAACCACCCACUCUUUACGGUCUCCAUACCAAUGAGCGUGUUUUACAUGCGUGUGCAUUUUCUGUUCCCGUAGAGCACAUGCACCCCAGGGUGAGUAUUUCUGUCUUGUUCGUGACGAGUCCCAGGAACCUGUGCAGUGCCUGACUGCGCGCAGGCCGAGGACCUGAAGGAAGCGUGGAGUCAGCUGCCUUGGGGGUGCAAGCGCUUCUGAGGCACAGGUCGCCACUGACUUCCAAAAGGGGGACUGGUUUGCGCUGUCACCACUAGUGGGCAGGUUACUGCUGUUCUUUCUUUCUUAAUUUUUAAAACGUUUUGUUUUGGCAGCACUGGGGCCUGAACCCAGGGCUUUUGUACUGAGCUAAUUUUUUAUGUUGAGACACCGUCUCGCUGAUUCGCUAAAUUGCCUAGGCUGGAUUUGAACUUAUCCGUCUUCCCUCCUCAGCCUCCGGGGGCGUGCACCCCACUGUAUGGCUCCCAUUGGCCCUGCACUGGUGCCUGUCCGGUCUCCUUUCCACGCCAUAUCAGAGGUGGAUCCGGUGGGGGGCACAAGCUGGACGUCUCUCCGGAGCCCCUCUGGCCACCCCACCCACCCAGCGGGGCAGCCCUCCAGGUCAGCCUCUCCCCGGGGCCAGGCCCCAGUUCCUGUCUCCUUCUUAGGCCAAUCCGCUGGGUCCAGUACCAGUCAGCGCCAGCUGGCAGCUCCCAC